rnacentral:rRNA from 1 species
GGUUCCUGUCCAACGUUAAUCGGGGCAGGGUGAGUCGACCCCUAAGGCGAGGCCGAAAGGCGUAGUCGAUGGGAAACGGGUUAAUAUUCCCGUACUUGGUGUUACUGCGAAGGGGGGACGGAGAAGGCUAUGUUGGCCGGGCGACGGUUGUCCCGGUUUAAGCGUGUAGGUGUGUGUUCCAGGUAAAUCCGGUUCACUUUAACACUGAGGCGUGAUGACGAGGCACUACGGUGCUGAAGCAACAAAUGCCCUGCUUCCAGGAAAAGCCUCUAAGCAUCAGGUAACAUCAAAUCGUACCCCAAACCGACACAGGUGGUCAGGUAGAGAAUACCAAGGCGCUUGAGAGAACUCGGGUGAAGGAACUAGGCAAAAUGGUGCCGUAACUUCGGGAGAAGGCACGCUGACACGUAGGUGAAGUGAUUUACUCAUGGAGCUGAAGUCAGUCGAAGAUACCAGCUGGCUGCAACUGUUUAUUAAAAACACAGCACUGUGCAAACACGAAAGUGGACGUAUACGGUGUGACGCCUGCCCGGUGCCGGAAGGUUAAUUGAUGGGGUCAGCGCAAGCGAAGCUCCUGAUCGAAGCCCCGGUAAACGGCGGCCGUAACUAUAACGGUCCUAAGGUAGCGAAAUUCCUUGUCGGGUAAGUUCCGACCUGCACGAAUGGCGUAAUGAUGGCCAGGCUGUCUCCACCCGAGACUCAGUGAAAUUGAACUCGCUGUGAAGAUGCAGUGUACCCGCGGCAAGACGGAAAGACCCCGUGAACCUUUACUAUAGCUUGACACUGAACAUUGAGCCUUGAUGUGUAGGAUAGGUGGGAGGCUUUGAAGUGUGGACGCCAGUCUGCAUGGAGCCGACCUUGAAAUACCACCCUUUAAUGUUUGAUGUUCUAACGUGGACCCGUAAUCCGGGUUGCGGACAGUGUCUGGUGGGUAGUUUGACUGGGGCGGUCUCCUCCUAAAGAGUAACGGAGGAGCACGAAGGUUGGCUAAUCCUGGUCGGACAUCAGGAGGUUAGUGCAAUGGCAUAAGCCAGCUUGACUGCGAGCGUGACGGCGCGAGCAGGUGCGAAAGCAGGUCAUAGUGAUCCGGUGGUUCUGAAUGGAAGGGCCAUCGCUCAACGGAUAAAAGGUACUCCGGGGAUAACAGGCUGAUACCGCCCAAGAGUUCAUAUCGACGGCGGUGUUUGGCACCUCGAUGUCGGCUCAUCACAUCCUGGGGCUGAAGUAGGUCCCAAGGGUAUGGCUGUUCGCCAUUUAAAGUGGUACGCGAGCUGGGUUUAGAACGUCGUGAGACAGUUCGGUCCCUAUCUGCCGUGGGCGCUGGAGAACUGAGGGGGGCUGCUCCUAGUACGAGAGGACCGGAGUGGACGCAUCACUGGUGUUCGGGUUGUCAUGCCAAUGGCACUGCCCGGUAGCUAAAUGCGGAAGAGAUAAGUGCUGAAAGCAUCUAAGCACGAAACUUGCCCCGA